rnacentral:rRNA from 1 species
GAUGAACGCUGGCGGCGUGCCUAAUACAUGCAAGUCGAGCGAACGGACGAGAAGCUUGCUUCUCUGAUGUUAGCGGCGGACGGGUGGGUAACACGUGGAUAACCUACCUAUAAGACUGGGAUAACUUCGGGAAACCGGAGCUAAUACCGGAUAAUAUUUUGAACCGCAUGGUUCAAAAGUGAAAGACGGUCUUGCUGUCACUUAUAGAUGGAUCCGCGCUGCAUUAGCUAGUUGGUAAGGUAACGGCUUACCAAGGCAACGAUGCAUAGCCGACCUGAGAGGGUGAUCGGCCACCCUGGAACUGAGACACGGUCCAGACUCCUACGGGAGGCAGCAGUAGGGAAUCUUCCGCAAUGGGCGAAAGCCUGACGGAGCAACGCCGCGUGAGUGAUGAAGGUCUUCGGAUCGUAAAACUCUGUUAUUAGGGAAGAACAUAUGUGUAAGUAACUGUGCACAUCUUGACGGUACCUAAUCAGAAAGCCACGGCUAACUACGUG